rnacentral:tRNA from 1 species
CCCGGAGUAGCUCAGUGGUAGAGCAUCUCACUCAUAAAGAGAAGGUCGUGAGUUCGAUCCUCACCUCCGGGA